rnacentral:rRNA from 1 species
CCUACGGGAGGCAGCAGUAAGGAAUAUUGGUCAAUGGACGCAAGUCUGAACCAGCCAUGCCGCGUGAAGGAUUAAGGUCCUCUGGAUUGUAAACUUCUUUUAUUUGGGACGAAAAAGGGCCUUUCUAGGUCAACUGACGGUACCAGAUGAAUAAGCACCGGCUAACUCCGUGCCAGCAGCCGCGGUAAUACGGAGGGUGCAAGCGUUAUCCGGAUUCACUGGGUUUAAAGGGUGCGUAGGCGGGUAGGUAAGUCAGUGGUGAAAUCCUAGAGCUUAACUCUAGAACUGCCAUUGAUACUAUUUAUCUUGAAUAUUGUGGAGGUAAGCGGAAUAUGUCAUGUAGCGGUGAAAUGCUUAGAUAUGACAUAGAACACCUAUUGCGAAGGCAGCUUACUACGCAUAUAUUGACGCUGAGGCACGAAAGCGUGGGGAUCAAACAGGAUUAGAUACCCUGGUAGUCCACGCCCUAAACUAUGAUUACUCGACAUUUGAGAUACACAUUAAGUGUNUGAGAGAAGANAUAAGUAAUACACCNCGGAGUACGUACCGCGAGAGAGAAGUACAAUAGAAGUUAGUACGGACGUAGAGACGAGCCGACGGACGACGACGAGGGAGGAGGAG